rnacentral:tRNA from 2 species
CUCUCCUUGGUGUAGUUGGUUUAUCACGUUCGACUGUAAAUCGAAAGGUCCCUAGUUCGAUUCUGGGAGGGGAGA